UCCUAGAUGUUGUGAUUUUUGAGGAGAGUUGAAUCUCUCAUUCUCUCAUUGCCCUAAGACUCAUACAAUAUAUUGGCACAAUAAGCAUUCUUAGGUUUUUUUUCUAAUUCUUUCUAAGCUGUUUAUUGAUUAAAGUGUUUGAAUUCCUAAUUCUCACUAGAAAAUUUGGGAUAAAACCAAGUUAAUAGUCGGUAUAUUAACAUUGUCAUUAAAAAUCUAAUUUUUUUUGUCAGUGCACCUUGUUAUUGUAUAUUUAUAUAAAACAUUGCUUAUUGUUUUGUUCAGUAUCAGUUCAGUCCUUGAUCCCUGCAUUACUUCUUUGCAAAGCCAGUCAAGCGAAGGCAUCUGUGUAUCCCAAAGUGGGAUUAUGACCUCAUUCUGGUUAUGACCUCAUUUUGAUAUUUUUGCUUCUCCCUGAACUCUGCUUUCUUGUUUGCCUCUGCCCUUUCUUCAGCAGGGAUUUGUUCUUCACCACUAAUCUUUUAGUAGUCCCUUAGGAUUUAUAUGGGUUUCUCCUGUUCCUUUUUUUUUCUCGGAGUAAGUGUAGUCUGUGAGCUUUAAUUAUGGUAUAUUUUAAGAUUCCCUAGCAGUGAAUCUUAACAGAGUCUUCCACACAGUUCAGACAGAGAAUGACACAGGUGCGGCACAGGAAGCCCUAAAUGAGUGGCUGGGAUCUGCCGUCACGUUUUUUGUGGAGUAAUUGCUGAGCUCUGAAGAAAGUGUUUGAGGCUCUUCUCGGAAGAAAAGAGGAUCAAGAAAAUUGUUCUUCUAGAAGAAAAUGUAAUUUGAAAGAUCCCAGGGAAAACUGGGCCCUACUGUGCAUAGGCUGUAGCAGGAUAAAGUUUCAUUAAGUAAGGAUGUAAGCCAGUGGAUGUCUGCAACAGCAAAAGAAAAGGAAGACAGAGAGGUUCGGAUUCACACAGACAGCUUCUGUGGCUGAGUCGAGAUUUCCAGGUGAAACCCAACAUGAAGGAAAAUGAAGACAAAAGAGCAAUAUUUAAUUUUCAGGCUUUUGGGAGAAGUAUUCUGAUUGUUUUUCUGGGAAAUUCUCUUUAAAAUCUGAUUUAUUUUCCCUUAGAUAAAGCCUUCAGCCUUCUUUAAAAUUCAAAUGGGUGGAAGAGCCGAGAGAAAAAGAUGUGGCAGGAAAACCUUGUCAUUGGUGAGUCACAGUUACUAAACUUAUUUUGCUGGUGAUAAGUUGAUAAGUCUGAAGACGUAGCUCGACACAUUCUCUCUAGCAAGUAAUUAGUUCAGGAAGUUCUCACCCCAUUUUUUCCUCUCCCCAGUUGCUCGUUCCUCCCACUGCACUGUAUUUCAGCACCAUAUUGUCCUACCAGUUAGAGUGUGUGUGUGGGUUGUGCUAUAAACUGGGGUCACUUAUGGGAUCUGGGUUAAACAAAGACCCUUCAUAACAAAGCAGCACUUCAAAGUCCAAAUU